rnacentral:rRNA from 1 species
CCCUUAGAUGAUUUGGGCUGCACGCGCGCUACACUGACCCUAACAAUGAGCAACUGUCUGGCCUGAGAUGGCUGGGUAGCCUUUUCAACCCAUGUCAUGAUUGGGCUAGAUUUUUGUAAGUCUUGAUCUCUAACGAGGAAUCCUAGUAUGCGUGAAUCAUCAAUCCAUGCAGAUUAUGUCCCUGCCCUUUGUACACACCGCCCGUCGCUCCUACUGAUUGGGUGAUCCGGUGAGCUGUUCGGCCAUAGCAAUGUUUCUUGAGCAGGGCAAUGAAUGUUUCGCAAACCUUGCCACUUAGAGGAAGGAGAAGUCGUAACA